CAGUAGCCGCGGUAAUACGGAGGGUGCAAGCGUUAAUCGGAAUUACUGGGCGUAAAGCGUGCGUAGGCGGUUCGUUAAGUCUGUUGUGAAAGCCCCGGGCUCAACCUGGGAAUGGCAAUGGAUACUGGCGAGCUAGAGUGUGUCAGAGGAUGGUGGAAUUCCCGGUGUAGCGGUGAAAUGCGUAGAGAUCGGGAGGAACAUCAGUGGCGAAGGCAGCCCCCUGGGCCAAUACUGACGCUCAUGCACGAAAGCGUGGGGAGCAAACAGGAUUAGAUACCCCUGUAGUCCCUGUCUCUUAUAC
rnacentral:rRNA from 1 species